GAUGAAGAACGCAGCGAAAUGCGAUAAGUAAUGUGAAUUGCAGAAUUCAGUGAAUCAUCGAAUCUUUGAACGCACAUUGCGCCCGCCAGUAUUCUGGCGGGCAUGCCUGUCCGAGCGUCAUUUCAACCCUCGAACCCCUCCGGGGGGUCGGCGUUGGGGACCUCGGGAGCCCCUAAGACGGGAUCCCGGCCCCGAAAUACAGUGGCGGUCUCGCCGCAGCCUCUCCUGCGCAGUAGUUUGCACAACUCGCACCGGGAGCGCGGCGCGUCCACGUCCGUAAAACACCCAACUUCUGAAAUGUUGACCUCGGAUCAGGUAGGAAUACCCGCUGAACUUAAGCAUAUCAAUAAGGGGAGGA
rnacentral:misc_RNA from 1 species